GGCACUGUGGGGUAACGGUUAAACGUGGAGCUCUGCUAAGCAAUCAUUGUAGCCUAGCUGCGAGUUCGAAUCUCGCCCGUGCCA